AUUGAACGCUGGCGGAAUGCUUUACACAUGCAAGUCGAACGGCAGCACGGGGCAACCUGGUGGCGAGUGGCGAACGGGUGAGUAAUACAUCGGAACGUGCCCAAUCGUGGGGGAUAACGUAGCGAAAGUUACGCUAAUACCGCAUACGAUCUACGGAUGAAAGCGGGGGAUCGCAAGACCUCGCGCGAAUGGAGCGGCCGAUGUCAGAUUAGGUAGUUGGUGGGGUAAAGGCUCACCAAGCCAACGAUCUGUAGCUGGUCUGAGAGGACGACCAGCCACACUGGAACUGAGACACGGUCCAGACUCCUACGGGAGGCAGCAGUGGGGAAUUUUGGACAAUAGGCGCAAGCCUGAUCCAGCCAUUCCGCGUGCAGGAUGAAGGCC
rnacentral:rRNA from 1 species